rnacentral:misc_RNA from 1 species
UCCUGUUUAACACAGGCAGUCUCAUUAGAGUUCCCAACUGAAUGAUGGCAACUAAUGAUAAGGGUUGCGCUCGUUAAGGGACUUAACCCGACAUCUCACGAUACGAGCUGACGACAGCCAUGCAGCACCUAUCUCCCGGUCACCGAAGUGAAAGUCCUAUCUCUAGGAUUGUCCGGGGAUGUUAAACCCAGGUAAGGUUCUUCGCGUUGCAUCGAAUUGAACCACAUGCUCCACCGCUUGUGCGGGCCCCCGUCAAUUCCUUUGAGUUUUAAUCUUGCGACCGUACUUCCCAGGCGGAGUACUUAAUGCGUUAGCUUCGUCACUGCAGGGGUCAAUACCCACAACAACUAGUACUCAUCGUUUACGGCGUGGACUAC